GAGAACCUAGUAAACACAUUAUAUGGCCUUGUCAUAGCCAAGUCACAGUCUCUGUGGUCCUCA
rnacentral:tRNA from 1 species